UACGUAGGGGGCAAGCGUUGGUCCGGAAUCAUUGGGCGUAAAGAGCGUGUAGGCGGUUCGGUAAGUCUGCUGUGAAAGUCCAGGGCUCAACCCUGGAAUGCCGGUGGAAACUGUCGGGCUAGAGUCCGGAAGAGGCGAGUGGAAUUCCUGGUGUAGCGGUGAAAUGCGCAGAUAUCAGGAGGAACACCAAUGGCGAAGGCAGCUCGCUGGGACGGUACUGACGCUGAGACGCGAAAGCGUGGGGAGCAAACAGG
rnacentral:rRNA from 1 species